rnacentral:ncRNA from 1 species
AAUACUCUGGAGAGUCUUUUAUACGGAAAACCCGUACAGAAAGCGCCGAAGGUGUACGGCAGGAAACUGCCAAUCUCUCAGGCAAAAGGACAGAGCAUGAA